rnacentral:pre_miRNA from 1 species
UUAGGUUUUCUUCAUUUUCUUCUGAAAUUUUUAUGGAAUUCUUGUUGUUGAAAGGUCGAUGGAGAUCAUGGGAAAAUGAAAAAGAGGAAAAG